UGUCCCCAGAAUGGGUGAGAGGACACAUUGAGCUUAAUCAUAUCAAUAAGCGGAGGAGAAGAUACUUACUAGGAUUCCUUUAGUAAUGGCGGGUGAACCGGGAUCUCCCAGCAUGGGAAUCAGGCUGCAAUGCAGGCCGAAUUGUAGUCUAGGGAAGCGUCCCUAGCGACAGAUUGGGCCCAAGUCUCCUAGAAAGGGGCGCUAGUGUGGGUUAGAGCCCCAUUCAUCCUGAACCCUAUCACAAUAUGGGGUGAUGUGACCGAGUCAGUUUGCUGGGGAUUGCAACCCCAAAUAGGCGAUAAAUUCUGUCCAAGGUUAAAUAUAUAUGAGAGAUCGAUAGGGAACAAGAACCGCGAGCGAAAGAUGAAAAGGCCAUUGAAAAGAGAGUCAAAGAGUGCUUGAAAUUAUCGAGAGGGAAGUAGAAGUGGGCUGGAGUUGCAUCUCGGUCUGAAGUGGGGAGGAUUAAUGCUUCUCCGUUGCCUGGCUCGAGGCAUGGAUCAUUACAGGCCUUACUGGUGGCUAGAUUCCAGGCGAAAGAUGCUCGAGGAGGCACAGUCAGUACCGCCAAUGAAGCAU
rnacentral:rRNA from 1 species